rnacentral:misc_RNA from 1 species
AACAAGGCGUACCUGCGGACCUGCGGAGGGAUCAUUAACAAACAAAGAAUUUUAUAUUCUUAAACCCCUUCUGAGUACUUGUACUUGUUGCUUCCAUGGUUAGCAAGCAUCAUGCUUGCAUCUACCAUCAUGGUGGAUCCAUGGAAGGUGUAUAUAUAUAAACUCUGUCAUUUCAUGGUAUCAGUCUGAGUAUGUUCAAGUUACAAAUGUUAAAACUUUCAACAAUGGAUCUCAGAUCGG